rnacentral:rRNA from 1 species
GACGGAGGGUGCUAGCGUUGUUCGGAAUUACUGGGCGUAAAGGGCGCGUAGGCGGCCUGGUCAGUCGGAUGUGAAAGCCCGGGGCUCAACCCCGGAACGGCAUCCGAGACGGCCAGGCUGGAGACCGGGAGAGGAGAGUGGAAUAGCCAGUGUAGAGGUGAAAUUCGUAGAUAUUGGCUGGAACACCGGUGGCGAAGGCGGUGGUCUGGGCCGGAACUGACGCUGAGGAGCGAAAGCGUGGGGAGCGAACAGG